AACGAACGCUGGCGGCAGGCUUAACACAUGCAAGUCGAGCGCCCCGCAAGGGGAGCGGCAGACGGGUGAGUAACGCGUGGGAAUCUACCCAUCUCUACGGAAUAACGCAUGGAAACGUGUGCUAAUACCGUAUACGUCCUUCGGGAGAAAGAUUUACCGGAGAUGGAUGAGCCCGCGUUGGAUUAGCUAGUUGGUGGGGUAAAGGCCUACCAAGGCGACGAUCCAUAGCUGGUCUGAGAGGAUGAUCAGCCGCACUGGGACUGAGACACGGCCCAGACUCCUACGGGAGGCAGCAGUGGGGAAUAUUGGACAAUGGGCGCAAGCCUGAUCCAGCCAUGCCGCGUGAGUGAUGAAGGCCCUAGGGUUGUAAAGCUCUUUCACCGGUGAAGAUAAUGACGGUAACCGGAGAAGAAGCCCCGGCUAACUUCGUGCCAGCCGCCGCAGUAAGAC
rnacentral:rRNA from 1 species